ACAACGGAUCUCUUGGUUCUGGCAUCGAUGAAGAACGCAGCGAAAUGCGAUAAGUAAUGUGAAUUGCAGAAUUCAGUGAAUCAUCGAAUCUUUGAACGCACAUUGCGCCCUUUGGUAUUCCGAAGGGCAUGCCUGUUCGAGCGUC
rnacentral:rRNA from 1 species